GAUGAACGCUAGCGGCAGGCUUAAUACAUGCAAGUCGAACGGUAACAGGUCUUCGGACGCUGACGAGUGGCGCACGGGUGAGGAACACGUACACAAUCUACCUUAUACUGGAGAAUAGCCCCGGGAAACUGGGAUUAACACUCCAUAGUCUUUAAUGAUCACAUGAGAAAUAAAGUAAAGCUUCGGCGGUAUAAGAUGAGUGUGCGUCCCAUUAGAUUGUUGGUGAGGUAACGCCUCACCAAGUCGACGAUGGGUAGCUGGCGUGAGAGCGCGACCAGCCACACUGGCACUGAGACACGGGCCAGACUCCUACGGGAGGCAGCAGUAGGGAAUAUUGGUCAAUGGACGAAAGUCUGAACCAGCCAUGCCGCGUGGAGGAUGACUGCCCUCUGGGUUGUAAACUCCUUUUAUAUGGGAAGAAACCUCUGGAUUCACUCCAGAGCUGACGGUAUCAUAUGAAUAAGCACCGGCUAACUCCG
rnacentral:rRNA from 1 species